GAUGAAGAACGUAGCGAAAUGCGAUACGUAAUGUGAAUUGCAGAAUUCAGUGAAUCAUCGAGUCUUUGAACGCACAUUGCGCCCCCUGGUAUUCCGGGGGGCAUGCCUGUCCGAGCGUCAUUGCUGCCCUCAAGCACGGCUUGUGUGUUGGGCCUCCGUCCUCCUCCCGGGGGACGGGCCCGAAAGGCAGCGGCGGCACCGCGUCCGGUCCUCGAGCGUAUGGGGCUUCGUCACCCGCUCUUGUAGGCCCGGCCGGCGCUUGCCGACACAUCAAUCUUUUUUCAGGUUGACCUCGGAUCAGGUAGGGAUACCCGCUGAACUUAAGCAUAUCAAUAAGCGGAGGA
rnacentral:misc_RNA from 1 species